rnacentral:rRNA from 1 species
GAUGAACGCUGGCGGCGUGCCUAAUACAUGCAAGUCGAGCGAAUGGAUUAAGAGCUUGCUCUUAUGAAGUUAGCGGCGGACGGGUGAGUAACACGUGGGUAACCUGCCCAUAAGACUGGGAUAACUCCGGGAAACCGGGGCUAAUACCGGAUAACAUUUUGAACUGCAUGGUUCGAAAUUGAAAGGCGGCUUCGGCUGUUACUUAUGGAUGGACCCGCGUCGCAUUAGCUAGUUGGUGAGGUAACGGCUCACCAAGGCAACGAUGCGUAGCCGACCUGAGAGAGUGAUCGGCCACACUGGGACUGAGACACGGCCCAGACUCCUACGGGAGGCAGCAGUAGGGAAUCUUCCGCAAUGGACGAAAGUCUGACGGAGCAACGCCGCGUGAGUGAUGAAGGCUUUCGGGUCGUAAAACUCUGUUGUUAGGGAAGAACAAGUGCUAGUUGAAUAAGCUGGCACCUUGACGGUACCUAACCAGAAAGCCACGGCUAACUACGUGCCAGCCGCCGCAGUAACAC